GUAGGAGGCGCGAGCAGCCUGGCUUACCCGGGCGUGUGGAGUUGCCGCGGUACCGUACUAUUCCUCAUUGCAAAAUCUUUAUGACACUUAAGAAAAGAAUCACCAGCCUGGGCAACCUGGGGAGGCCCCGUCUCUACAAAAAAAUUAAAAAAUUAGCCGAGUGUGGUGGCGCGCGGCCGUGGUCCCAGCUACUCUGGAGGCUGAGGCCCAGGAGUUCGAGGCCGCAGUGAGCUAUGAACGUGCCACUGCACUCCAGCCUGGGCCACAGAGCAAGACCCCGUUUCAAAUAAAAGAAAAGAAGUUACCGAAAUACAGAUGUGCAAUUUUUAUUCCUUAGCCUAGUCUCAUCUCUGCUGCAUGUGACUGUUGUUCACAUAUUAAUUCCACCACAAUUUAAGUUCCUCCUGUGUGCCAGGGAAGCGCCCUUAACAGAAGCUGGGGAAACAACCAGGAACAAGACAGAUGCUGUGCCUGCCCUCAUGGGGAUUACUUUCUAGUUGAGAAAGGAGAUACUAAAUGGAGAAGGAAAAUAAGCUGCUGAGAAAUUAAAGGAAGACAGGUGACCUUUUGAUUUGAGAUGUCAAGAAAGUGCCCUCUGAAGAGGUUCGGUAAACUGAGAGGAAGCCGGCUCUGGAGAUACAAGGAAAGAACAGCCAACAGAAGGAUCUACAUGUGAGCAAGCAACAAGGAAGGAGCAGAAUGUGGUGCCUUGAAGAAAAGGAGAAAGUGGGUCAUGGGAAGCACGGAGGAUGAGAUCAACGAGGCCAGGAGAGUCCCCAUCAUGCACAGACUCUCUGGGGCCCUGUGAGGGAUACGGAGUUUAUUCCAAGUGUAAUGGGAAACUAGUGAAGAGUUUUCAACACGUGAGUGACAGGAUCUCGUUUCGUAGCAUCAUCGCCCUGCUUGCUGCUGUGUAUACAUGGAACUUUUGAGAAACAAUUUAAAAGGAUGCAGAGAGAAGAGUUGCUUUUGCAAUGAGCAGGUUCUCUUCCCUGCUGAGUUGUGAAGAAGGCACCUGCUUCCUCUUACACCGUGAUUGUUAAGUUUCCUGAGGCCUCCCCAGCCUUGCAGAACUGACUCAGAGACUACCUAGACGCCCGCAGACAACAGACCAGAGGGGUCCGGCGAAACACAGAGGGGUCCGGCGAAAUGGUUUUCACCUGAGAAGGCAACGGGCUACUCCACUGUAAGAAAACCAUCUGUAUGAAAGAAUCUUGAAAGGACCACGCAGAGCGGAAAUACUCACUCCCAGCGGCCUCACCAGGGCGGCGGGCGGCCCGGCUACGACGGCAGGAUCGUUCACCACGGCCCGGGCCCAGGGCCUUCUGGUUACACCAGGAUCCACGGGCUGGGGCUGCGUGGUACCGUGGGGAUGGAUGCCGUGGUUUUGUGAUCCACGCUGCCAUCUUCUGGGGAGUCUCAUCAGAGACUGUGGUUCCGUUUUCAGUGCAAAGCUGUGAGUCCGAGACUGUGGCGGGGGCACGUCUCAAUUCAACUGGACCUAUUCCAGCCAGCUAAUGAUGGUGAUGGUGAUGAGAAGGAGAGGAGGAUGGUGGCGGCGGUGAUGAAAACCAGGAUUCUGGAGUUUACAGCGGUUCUCACUCUUUUAAAAGCACGUCCCAUAAAGAGUACAGCUGAUCAAACAACAAAAGAAGAAAAUAAAUCAGAGAGCUGCUACUAUUUUUAAAAGGUGGAAGUGGACAGAAUGGCCUUCGGGGCAAGUGAAGAAAACUGGAAAAUACACACUCUACAGAGGCUGGUUCUGGAACGUGGGACCCUGAGCACUCAGCGAAUUCUUUGUUUCCCAAAGUUUCUCCGCUAAGCACCUUGCAGGGUGCAUGGCUUCAGAUGGCCGGCUGCCUGAGCUUUAACCAAGUAGGAAACAACGGAGACGGUAACUUGAUCCCAGACUUCCAGCCUGGAAAACGCUGAAACAAUACGUUUUGGUUACUUUUAAGCCAGGCAGAUUGUAAGAGAAAUGCAGUGUUUCACAGUGGGAGAAGCUACAAGCCUGUAAUCUAGUGGUUGACAGGGCCUGCUCCACCUUUCUCUUAGCUCCUGGUGUUACCAGCAUCCUCCUCACUCCAGUCACUGCCUCCUCCAUCAUUAGGCGACAUUCUCAUGUGUCUGUCUCUUCUCCUCUUCUAUGGACACCAGGCAUAUCAGAUUAGGGGCCCUCCCUCCUCCAGGUUGACCUCAUUUUACUCACAUUUGGGAUGAUCCUAUUUCCAAAUAAGGUCACAUUCUGAGGUUCUGGGAAGCACAUGGAUUUUAGGGGAGCACUCUCCAGUAAAUAGGCUUGGGUUCCGAUCUUGGUGUAGGUACUAAUUAGCUGUUCAGUCGUGAGGCAGCUCUAGCCAUCCGUUUUCUCAUCUGGUAACAUAAAGGAGUUAGCAUGUGCCUGGCACAGAGUAUACUCAGCAGAAGACAGCAUUAUCAGAAAAAAAGUGUUUGUUUGUUUGUUUGUUUGUUUUUGAGACGGAGUCUCGCUCUGUUGCCCAGGCUGGAGUGAGUGGCCGCGAUCUCAGUUCACUGCAAGCUCCACCUCCCAGGUUCACGCCAUUCUCCUGCCUCAGCCUCCCGAGUAGCUGGGACCAUAGGCGCCGCCACCACGUCCGGCUAGUUUUUUAUAUUUUUAGUAGAGACGGGGUUUCACCGUGUUGGCCAGGAUGGUCUCGAUCUCUUAACCUUAUGAUCCACCCGCCUCGGCCUCCCACAGAGCUGGGAUUACAGGUGUGAGCCACUGCGCCCAGCCAAAAAAAAGUUUUAAUAAAUUUAAAGAGAGAGAAAACAAGAUCCUACAGUCCCUGGACCAAAGCAGAGCAUUUAAAUAAAGAGAGCUUUGGAAAGCGUGAUUUCUACCUGAAUCCCUUUCUCCCUCUCACAUCACAUUUAGCAUCUGAUUUAGCUCAGGAGACACCGAGUUGUUGUUAACCAGCUGUUUCUGAUGAGGUAGAUAACAUUUGGGUCCAUUUCAGUCUCCGGGGGAGGCUCAGAAGAGACACACAGCUCUGCCACCUUUUCUACCCACCUCUCCCUACGCUGUGCAAGCUUGUGUUUCCAGAACCAGGUUCAUUCUGACUGGAUCCCAGGUGUGUCCAAGGCCUUUUGUUUGGCAGAAGGGAGUGUACAAUCCAGCCUCCUCAUCAACCUGAUUGAACUUCUCUUCAUUAACUUUGAGUAUUGUGGAUUUAGAGACAUGUUAUUUGAGAAGGCUGUGAUAUUAAUAUAUUAGAAACCAUGAAUAUUUGGGGAUGAAUUACUUUUCCAACAAAUUAGUGCCCUAAGGGGGUAGGCCUUUUCGAAGAGAGAAAGGAAGUUGAAGAAAGUUCCAGAGCCUGACUUGCGGCAGGGCACGUGUUCACCUGAGAAACGUGGUAAUGGGGUAAUUGAGAUCCUCUGAACAGUAACCGACUUGCCACCUGAGCAAAAAGCCCUGAAGGCAACAACUACGGCAUUCCCACGUGUACAGUGUUCCAGGCGCUGCCCUAAAAACAUCCAUGUGACUUUGUGUAUACGUGUGUUUACAGAAUGUGUAAAUAAAUAGGAGAAUAUGAAA
ensembl:lncRNA